UCUUGAAGAUCCUUUAUUAAGUCAUAGAGACAUUGCAGUCUGCAUUGGUGGACGUAGAAUCCACAUCGAUAAAAUCCCGGAUACUUGAAGAACUGAGGUAUGAUCAAUGACUGGGAGAAGUAUGAAGUGGCAAGAUCCAGGAGGACUAUUUGAUACAGGCCCAACUGAAAGGUUUCUAUCAUUUUAUUUGCCACUGCCCCCGUAAAACUCUUCCUUGCCACAAAAGAAGAAAUAUGUAAGCAAAACCAACCAACACAGCAG